rnacentral:rRNA from 1 species
UACGUAGGGGGCGAGCGUUGUCCGGAGUUACUGGGCGUAAAGCGCACGUAGGCGGCUUGUUAAGUCAGGGGUGAAAUCCUGGAGCUCAACUCCAGAACUGCCUUUGAUACUGGCGAGCUUGAGUCCGGGAGAGGUGAGUGGAACUGCGAGUGUAGAGGUGAAAUUCGUAGAUAUUCGCAAGAACACCAGUGGCGAAGGCGGCUCACUGGCCCGGUACUGACGCUGAGGUGCGAAAGCGUGGGGAGCAAACAGG